UACGUAGGGUGCGAGGCGUUAAUCGGAAUUACUGGGCGUAAAGGCGUGCGCAGGCGGUGAUGUAAGACCGAUGUGAAAUCCCCGGGCUUAACCUGGGAACUGCAUUGGUGACUGCAUUGCUGGAGUAUGGCAGAGGGGGGUGGAAUUCCACGUGUAGCAGUGAAAUGCGUAGAGAUGUGAAGGAACACCGAUGGCGAAGGCAGCCCCUGGGCCAAUACUGACGCUCAUGCACGAAAGCGUGGGGAGCAAACAGG
rnacentral:rRNA from 1 species